AACUUUUAACAAUGGAUCUCUAGGCUCCCACAUCGAUGAAGAACACAGUGAAAUGUGAUAAGUAAUGUGAAUUGCAGAAUUCAGUGAAUCAUUGAAUCUUUGAACGCACCUUGCACCUUUUGGUAUUCCAAGAGGUACACCUGUUUGAGUGUCAU
rnacentral:rRNA from 1 species